CACAGACGGCACCUCCACUGACACACCGAUGUGACAGGCUACUUCAGUUUUACUUUCACUUCCGCGUGACGAACUCGGCGGGGAAAGGUCUUUCUUCCUGUUUGGUCAGACACGCCCACCUGUUUAAGCUGCGGUGAACCAAGAUGUCUCUCUCUUCCUCGUGACCUCUCCCCUGGAAGGCGGGUGCCUUUCAGGAGCUCCUUUUCUUUCGGUUGUUUGUUUAGAGUAUGAUGAGUUCGAGUGUACUUGAGUUAAUUAUAAGUGAAGGUAACUUUAAUAAAACCUUAUGGUUCAUUUAAACUGU